UUGCGUGCUUUCUUCACCUUCUCCGAUGCUACUUGCGCCUGGCUAGGUCCACCAGUUUCAACCUUAGAAGGCACUGUGAUGGCAUCGGGGUUGUCAUCUCCAUUGUAAACGUCGCCUCCCUAUUUGAUAAAAAAAGUCAUAUAUAUCUUUAUACCGAACAGCCACGUAUCUGGAAAAACCUUACAUUCUUUAAACCUUACAUUCCAUAAACCUUAGAUUAUCAACAAAUGCAGGCUGCAGCACACGGUCACGCUCACUGAGGAUGCGCGAGACAGUAAAGGUCUGAUGAUUUGCUGUGAAUUUAAGUGCACUCACCCUCACCUGGAAUGUGUAGGUCUUACCAACCAUGUCUCACACAAAUGGUGGGGCCUGUGUUUCCUCUGGGUUGACACCAUCACCAGCCUGAGCAAAGAGUGGUUCAAUGGAAACUGUAUGAAUAAGUAGCCAGUAAAAAAAUAUGAAUUACAGUUGAUAAAGUACAUACCAAAAGAUGGUCAGCUUCAAAGGCCCUCAUGUUGUGAUGUUUGGUCAUUACCUGAUCGAAACAGACAAACAAAGCUUUACCAGUUUCAUCUGCAACGGACAUCUCCACACCGUACCUAGCGGACAGAGAACAUACAUCAAAUCCUAAAGGUGAGUUUGCGCUAGGUCAGAAAUUUAAUGUUACUGAAUAAGUUGCCGGAAAUUAGCACAUACCGGAGGAAACCAACUGCACUGGUAUGUUGCAAGGAAGACAUGUGAAAGAUGAUACUGUGCACUAAAGUUGCUUGGCCCAGUUUGAGCAGGAAACAUUGCACCAUCCCUUCUCCACCUUUAUUUCAGUUACUCUUCUGGUACAGAUAAACACCUUCAGCUUCACCACCAAAACCCGACCAAAGACAUGAUGGCUUUACCACAUCAGUCUCAAUGAUCUGAUCCAACGUUUUUGGAGUUUCACAGCAGAGUAAACCCCAGUCGAAACGUCUCAGCUUCUCGUCAAUCAGGUCUUCUCUAAAGGAAGAAGAUGGUAGAUUGAUGAUAACUCUAAAAAAAGGCCAAAACUUGAUGAUGUCUUGACGGCAAAUCUCUUAGAGAAUCUCGUCCGUGUGAUCAAGAACCAGAAGAAGCUUCGUGUGAGAAUUCGUCGAGUAGUGAUGUUUCUUUGAUGCAUCUUGCCAUGAGAUUAGUCCAGUUCAGUCUUAAAACUUCAAGAACUUUCUUCACAAACUUGUGAACUGAGUCCUUUUCUAGAAGAUUCAUGCCUGAAUCAUCAAAACCUAGCAAUCUAGGCCCUGUUCUUUUCAGAGACGCUGCGUCAGCGACUUGCAAUCAAAAAUAUAAGUAACUUCUUGUCCAAGUAUGUGGAGACUACCACGGACAGCGGUACUUUUGACGCCCAGAAGCAGUUGCUUCACCAUUUUAAGUGACGCUACUUUACACAGCUGUCAGAAUAGCCACCCGAAAUCCUUAUAAAAGUUGAUCGCAGCUUCGAUGACUAAUUUUUGAUCGCCGGAAGUGAUCGCAGCGUCACUGUACCGAACAGGGCCCUAAUCUUCUCUUCUACUGUUUCUUCUUCUAGACGUAUCCUCUCUAGAAAAUAGACAGGACUUGGUUGCUCCUGCUCUUGUUUCAGGUCUUGAAUGUUUCUGUCUCGUCUUUCUAGAUCCGAACUUGAUUCCUGGAACAAUUUAGAGCAUAAGUUAAACAUCAAAUCUGUUGUAGAGUCAUAAGAAAUGUCUUCUCCUGUUCUCAGAGCUUACCGCUGAUGAGCUCUCAAGAUAUCUUAGACUUGUGUACUCAGCAGAACCUGUACAAUUGUGGUUGAGAGACCUUACAAUGGAGUUGUGAGGAUUCGGAUCAGAAACCUCCUAGUCCUUGUCCACGGAGCACAACUUGAACCUCUCUCUUCUCUCUUUGAGUUUUAUUUGCCGGCUGCUCAACUCAUUAGGACCUUCAUACACCGGUAUUAUCACAUUGUGAAAGAAGUUAUCAAACAUCAAAAGCUGGGAAAUGGCUCAGCCAUAAAUCUAAAUAAACUAAUAGUCAGAAAGGGAGAAUUUUCACAGCCUUAAAAAUACGAACAUUGUGAAUAGAAGAUAUCACACAUUAAAAGCUGGGGGAUGGCUCGACCAUAAAUCUACGACAGGAACUUCAAAACACAAUGAAUAAUGAUAAUCUGGAAUCAAGACGGUGGCGAUGUAUAUAGAAUAUAACCGGAGAUCUAAUUAAAACUAUAAACAAAAAUAUCAGUAAAAUAGAUUACUUGAGGAUCAAGAAGGAACAUAUCGACUCACAUAAGCUCUCCACCACGCCGGACGUUCCUGGCCUCCCAAAAUCGGAGCAGGCGAACUUGAACGGAGGAGGAAGAGUGGCCAGUCUGUAGAUCGGAGAGGAUAACCAAAUCGUUAGCCAUGACUCAAACCUUUUGUAUAAUGAUUAGUUUAGAACGAAGGAUGAUUUUGAAAGCAUGAAUUCAUAUCUUUUUAUAGUAGACUUCCACCGCCUUGCACUCUCCAGGGUCGCAUCGAAUGGAGAUCGUGUGUGAGUGAUUAAGGAGGGCUUUAUGAGGGGAUCAGUUAAUAAGGAAAAUGGCCAAAAAAAUGUUUUAUUAAAGUGUAAAUAUACAUUUAUACCCUAGGAUUAACUAAUCUAGAAUUAGAGUUAAAGUUAAAUGAUGGGGUUUUGAUGAUGGAGUUCAAAUUUUUUUUAAAAAAAUAAAACUUUCAAAAUAAAAAGAACAAUUUUGGUUAAUUUUUUCUUUGAUGACUAUUUUUGCGACAAAAACUAAAAGAAACUAUUGAAAGAUUGCCCUAUAAUAUAUCUUAGUGUUUUAACGUGAAUCCUAUGCUCUUUUAUUUUUUUACAAAGAACGUGAGUCUUAUGUAUUGCACAUUGGCACACCUUAUUCAUGUUUACGUACAUGUGUUAUUACACAAUUUUAUAUGAACACUACAAGAAAACACAAGUUUUACGAGGGCAGUUUUCCUCGUUACUUCGUCGUAAAAGCAGUGUUACGACGAAUUAGCGAGGAAACGCGUUUCGUCGUUAUACGUUUGUCGUAACGCAUAUAUCCUCGCUAAUUCGUCGUAAGUUAGCGAGGAAAUAAUUUCGUCGUAAAAGCGAAGGAGGAUAUUUCGUCGUAAAGACCACGUAAAGAUUCCACGUAAGGACGUCGCUAAGUUUCCUCGUAAAUACCACGAAAAGCUUUCCUCGUAAAACCCACGUAAAUAAAUACUCGUAAAAUUAACGUAAAUACCUUGAGAGCUUUCCACGUAAAGAAAACGUAAAAACCUUGAUAGAUUUCCACGUUAUUUCCAUGUAAAUGUUUCCUCGUAAAAACCACGUUAAGCUUCCACGUAAAGAAGCCGCAAAAUUAGCUACGAAUUUACUUCGUUUCAUUAUUUUAUAGAAAUAUAAAAAAUUAUAAUUAUAAAUAUAAUUAUAAAUAUAAUUUAAAUUAUUAAUAAAAUUAAAAUUCUAAAAAAAUCAAAACCAAAAUAUUUUAUAUAGAAAUAAGUUUUGAAUUCAUAAUACAAUAACCGAAAUUAAAAAGAACUAAGGGUGGUCGUUAAUUAAUCGCCUCGUAGAAUUCAUCACUCCUCGCCUGAACAUCCGCCUCGGCAUGUGAGUCGUCGGUCGGUGACUGGCCUGGGAUAGGAUUUUGUUGUCGCAUGGUCCUCAACAAAGUCGCCCAUUCCGGAUUUGUGGCCGCUACAACGUCCAAGAAGCCCUCGAGUCCACCCAUACGAGAUCGGAGCUGAGUAGACUCUAUACGCAGCUGAGUAGACUCUCUACGCAGCUCUUCGGACUCCCUACGCAGCUGAGAGACUUCCUCAUCCCGUCGCUGAACAUAAGACGAUGUCGCUCUCGGAACAUCGUUGACGGAACCAAUCCCCAACGUCCGUCCCUUUUUUUUAGGGACAACCUUAAAAACAAAAAAUAAAUUUUGUUAGUAAAAAUUUAAAGUUAAAUUAAAUGAAUAUUUAAAAAAAUUAAAAUUUUAGAAAAUUUACCUCCUCGUAAAGCUUAUCCACUUCAGGUGUGGAUAAGGUGACGGGUAAUCCAUCGGUGGACUGUUGGGUCAGCUGGGUCUGGCGUUCUUCAACCCGAGCAGCCAAAUCGUUGUAGAUUUGCUCGGACUUGCCAUCUAUAAAUCGGCCCGCCUUGUUCUUGUGGGUCCUCUCGUAAAGUUGCAUAAGAGACGGGAAUUCUCCCGUCUCUUUGGCCUAAAAAAACAUUUAAGAAAGUUGUUAAUUAGAAUAUAUAUAAAAAUAUACUAAAAAUUUAAUAUAAUUAAAUUUUUAAUUACCAUUUCCAAACGGACACCGGCGUGGGGUUUUUGGCCCGUAGUGUGAAGCAUCGGCCCGUUCCCGUGCUCAUCGACUGUGUUACGGGAGUUAGAGCAAGACUGGGCGAUUCUAAUGGAAUCAGGAAGACGCCAAUAUCGGAUGAGGCCAUCCCAGACAUCCGUGGUGAGCUCAGCGGGUUUGCCACGCUCAUACCCCUUCACGAUCCAGUCACCCUUCCAGUUGGAGACCGUGUCCAACAAGCGAACUUUCGCCUUCGCUUCAAACUUCUUUCUCACCCUCUCAGUGAUCCCCAAGGCCCAAUUAUAUUUUUGCUGUUGGAAAAAAUAAUUUAUAAUUAGUUUUUUAGAAAAAAAUAUAUAUAUAAAUAAUAAAAAAUUUAAAGAUAUAUAUUUAAUUAAUAGAACUUACAGCGUAAAUUUUGAACCACGUCUUUCUGACGUAGUGGGGCGUCAUUUUCCAGUUCGGAUGUGCCAUGGAGAAGUAACCUUUUAUCGUAUCGGUUACGUCCGAUGCAAGACAUCCGUCAAUCCCCCACCUGAAAAAUACAAAUUUAAAAUAUAAAUUAUUUUUUAAAGUUAUAAAAGAAUUUAAAAAGAAUAAAAAAAUAAUGAAACAUACCAUAAAGUUCCGUCCGGUCGGUCGGGGUCGAUGACUGGUAAACCUUCUCUGCCUGGCAGACGGAGAAUGUCCUCUACGGUGUACUGCGAGUAAGGAGCACUCGGAGGCACCAUCAAAUCGGGAUGAAUCUCGCCCGCGGGCAUCGGAGGUGCCGGCAUCGUAGGAGGCACAGGAGGAGGAGGAGGCAUCUGGGGAGGCACGUGAAGAACCGAUGGUGCACUAGAAGAAGGAGAUCCAAUGACUCUCUGAGUGUACUGAGUCUCGGGGACAGUCUCCUGACCCGAAGAACCGGGAGCUGAAGAAGACGACGGGUCUAAACGACUACCCGGCUCACCAAACAUCUCUCUGUAAUGGGCAGUAAGUCUACCUUUUCGAACCUGAGAAAAAAAUUUAAUUUUUUAAAUUUUCGUGAACAUAUACUUCCCAACAUUAUCCACCUAAUCAACACUAAAUAACAUAAGAUCCGUAAACCUAUCUAAAUUCCCUAUACUAACCACCUAAUCUAUCCUAAACUAAUCAAACUAGAGAGGAAUUAGAGAGACUUACCAUUGCUACGAAUUAGGGAGGAAGUGGAGAGGAAGUAGAGAGGAAAGACGGAGCGAGCUCGCUCGGGAUAUAUAUAAGAUUACUUGUCCUCGUAAAUUCCUCGUAAACUUACGAGGAAUUACAGAGGCCCGCGUUUUCAGUUACGACGAAAUAGCGACGAAAUACAAAGGCCCGCGUUUUCGUUAACGACGUUUUUACGACGAAAAGGGUUACGUGGAAUUAACGAGUUAACCAGUUACGAGGAAUUAGCGAGCCUUUAUUUUCUAUAAAUACCCACAACUUUCCUUCUCAAACCACACACACAAACUCACAAAACACACCCUAUCUCAAAUCACACUCCUCACCAAAAUACUUUUCAAAUUAGAAAUAUUUGAAAAAAAAAGAAGAAAAGAAGAUAUUAGAAUUUAUGUGGGUGAGACUUAAGUCUCGCCACAUAUAAUUCCAGUAUCUUUCUUUUUUUCUUUUUUUCUAGUUUUUAUACUAUGAGGAAGUAGCAAGUCCCGCUUUUCACCAAUUUAGAAAAUUUGGAAAAAAAAAGAAGAGAAGAAGAUAUUUGGAACUCAUGUGGUCGAGACUUACGUAAGUCUCGCCAAAUGUGAUUCAAGCAUCUUUCUUCUCUUCUUUUUUUUAGUAUUUUUAAUAUUUUCGUCGUAAUAUCGUCGUUAGUUUACGACUCUUUUACGACGAUUUUGGCUUACGUGGAAUUAGCGUGCCCCGCUUUUUUAAUUUCGUCGUAAAGUCCUCGUGGCCUUACGAGGUGUUUACGACGAAAUCAUCCUACGUGGAAUUAAAGAGUGCCUUCUUCGUCAUUUACUUUACGUGGUAUUUACGUCAAUUUACCUUACGAGGUGUUUACGACGAUUCUUUCCUACGUGGAAUAAACGAGUUCCUCCUUCGUCAUUUACUUUACGUGGCAUUUACGUCAAUUUACAUUACGAGGUCUUUACGACGAUUCUGUCCUACGUGGAAUAAACGAGGAUUACGUCGUACAUUCGACGUCAGGUUACGAGGAAUUAACGAGCAGUACUUUAAUUCCCUAAAAUCCGAAACCCCAAACCCCAAAACCCAUAUUCCUUAUCUUCUACUUCAUAUAUUCCAAACCCCAUCUUUAUUUUCAUUCCAAACCACAAUUCCCACAUUUACUUAUUUAUAAAACAAACUCCCACAAUUUCUUAUUCAUAAAACAAACUCCCACAUUACCUUAUUCAUAAAACAAACUCUCACAUUACCUUAUUCAUAAAACAAACUACACAAAAUCAAAUACAUCAAUCGGAUACAUCGACAUUCUCGUCAUCACUAGAAAUAUCAUCAUUUUCAUUAAACUCGUCUUCUACAGCUUCGUCUGUGGCAUCAUCGGUAAGAUCUUCGUAUUCGUGAUUAUGCGGAUCAAUGAGAAGGAUGUCAUCAACUUCUUGUUCAGGUUCCUCGACUUCAUUUAUCUGUUCUUCUUGCAAUGGUGGUUCUUCUCCACUGAUGAUUCGUCCUCGAGGUGUAACUUUGAUCACUGCUAACCAAUUUAUACCCGAAUCUCUCAUCCGAGGGUAUGGAAGGAAGCUAACUUGGUCUGCUUGUGAAGCUAAGAUGAAAGGCUCGAAUUUGUUGUACCGACGUCCACCGUUGACAUCAACUACACCAAAUUUGUUAGACCGAACACCUCUGUUGACGACGGGGUCGAACCAUUCACAUUUGAAGAUGACGCAUUUCAGCUUCAGUAUCCCUGGAAAUUCGACUUCAAUAAUCUCCGUCAAGAUCCCGUAGAAAUCUGUUUCCCCUUUCACACAUAUUCCAUAGUUACUGGUCGCCCGCUGUCUACCAUACUCAUAUGUGUGAAAAGUGUAGCCUCGUGUGAAAUACAUCUGUGAUGUGGUGACCUUUACAAGUGGAGAUUGAAUUACUUCGUGUAACCACUUAGGAUAAUCUGCAUCGUCGUCAUAAUCAACCUGCAAAAAUAAAGAGAACAUUAAAAUACAAAUCAUGUAUGAAAAAAUAGUUUGAGUUAUAAUACCUGAUUCCGCAACCACUUAAUGAAGUGCUGAUCUUUCCUUUUGUCUACGUCACUUGUGGAUAUACCAGGAAAUGUUUCUUCGACUUGAGAAACAAAUAGGCUGUAAAAUUAAUCACAUUUCAUAGGAAUGAAUCUCUUGCAAUUAUAUAAUUAAUUAUAUGUGUUUUGAAGUGUCCAUAUAUGUUACCUUUCAAAAUAACGCAUCAAUGGAUCCUCGCAAUUGAGUAGAAUAUAGGUGUGUGCACUAUGAGCGUCUUGUUCACUCGACCACCAAACCUCUUUAGACUUCCCACCGAGCCGUCCAAUCUGGCUAAAGAUGUCUGGAACACCAGCAACUGCAUAUGUUGGCGCAACUCCACCAUCAUCAUAUCUUCUUGGAGCUCUUCUACGGGUACGUACUUUUGACGCAAAGUAGUACGAUGUGAAGUGAGAAACUUCUUCCGUCAAACUUCCAGCAAUUAUAGAACCUUCAACUUUGGCGAGGUUCUUUGCUUUUCCCUUCAAAUAUUUCAUGGCUCGCUCAUACUGAUACAUCCAUCCGUAAUGUACAGGUCCACGAAGCAAUGCUUCAUAUGGGAGGUGGACAGCUAGAUGCUCCAUGACGUCAAAAAAUCCAGGAGGAAAUAUCUUCUCCAAGUUGCACAAUAAGAUGGGAAUGUUCUCCUGAAGCUGUUCUACAACUUCUUCUUUAAGAGUGCGUGUGCUCAGAUCCCUGAAAAAUGCUCCAAUGCCUUUUAUAUUCCAAAAACAAUUAAACACAUUGUUAGUCGUAUAUUAUUUUGCAAACUAGACCGUUAUAAAAUUAUUGUGAUAUAAAACACUACGAACCUGCAAGUGCUUCAUGUACGUUUGUUGGAAGUAGCUCCGCAAAUGCAAAGGGCAGUAGUCGUUGCAUAAAGACAUGACAAUCAUGACUCUUCAUCCCAGAGAACUUUUGACCCUUUUCAACACAUCUAGAGAGAUUUGAAACAUACCCAUCGGGGAACUUCACUUCUGAUGCCACCCAGUUGAACAACACCGACUUUUUUUCUGAAGACAGUCUGAAUAUCGGAACAGGAACUUGUCCAUUGCUUUUAAUAUGUAACUCGCUUCUUGAGCAAAUAUCCGGCAAGUCCAACCUCGAUUUUAUGUUGUCUUUUGUCUUCCCUGGGACAUUCAAUAUUGUAUUCAUGAUGUUCUCAAAGAAAUUCUUCUCUAUAUGCAUCACAUCGAGGUUGUGGCGCAGAAGAAGAUCCUUCCAAUAUGGCAACUCCCAAAAUAUACUCUUCUUGUGCCAGUUGUGAUGAACACCGUAAGAAUCAGGCAUAUUACGAGGGACAUGCCAAUUACCACCCCAACGAACUGUUUCGUUAGCUCCGUAGUAGUCGAUUUGUGCUUCAAUUUGUUCUCCAGUUAGAUAUGGUGGAGAAGUGUCUCUCACAACCCUUUUGUGCCUAAACAAAUUCUUGUUUCUUCGGUAAGGAUGGCCAAUGGGAAGAAAUCGACGAUGACAAUCAAACCAACUUGUCUUCCUACCAUUCUUCAGUUGAAACGCAUCUGUCGUUCCAUUACAAUAUGGACAAGCUAAUCUCCCAUGUGUAGUCCAUCCAGACAACAUCCCAUAUGCAGGAAAGUCACUUAUGGUCCACAAAAGCAUAGCUCGCAUCGUAAAAUUCGUCUUCGUUGAACAGUCAUACGUCCUCACCCCUGUUGACCACAAAUCCUUCAACUCUUUAUCAGUGGUUGUAGGAAAACAUCCAGGGACCUUUUUGGAUGGUUCGGACCAGGUAUCAAUAUCGUCAAGAAUAGCAACUCCCGUUGCAUGCACAUCUCCGGUGGCAGGUUGUAUGGCGUAAGAAAAGACUGGCCCAAUGAAUAUGUCUCCCUGACAUUCCGAACGGACUCUAAAUCCAUCUGUGCAUAAUCCGAGAUACACAUUCCGGCUAUUGCUAGCAAAAUCCGGAUGUACCUUGUUGAAAUGUUUCCAGGCUCUUGCAUCUGAUGGAUGAGUCAUCUCACCUUCCCAUCCGUUGAGUAUGCUCGCCAUGCAAUCUCAUCUUUGCAGCAGUCUGCUCUGAUUGAUACAAAUUCUUUCAAUCUGUCUGUAAUUGUAUGUACCACAUCCUUUGGUACGGUANNNNNNNNNNNNNNNNNNNNNNNNNNNNNNNNNNNNNNNNNNNNNNNNNNNNNNNNNNNNNNNNNNNNNNNNNNNNNNNNNNNNNNNNNNNNNNNNNNNNACGGUCUAAACGACUACCCGGCUCACCGAACAUCUCUCUGUAAUGGGCAGUAAGUCUACCUUUUCGAACCUGAGAAAAAAAUUAAUUUUUUAAAUUUUCGUGAAUAUACUUCCCAACAUUAUCCACCUAAUCAACACUAAAUAACAUAAGAUCCGUAAACCUAUCUAAAUUCCCUAUACUAACCACCUAAUCUAUCCUAAACUAAUCAAACUAGAGAGGAAUUAGAGAGACUUACCAUUGCUACGAAUUAGGGAGGAAGUGGAGAGGAAGUAGAGAGGAAAGACGGAGCGAGCUCGCUCGGGAUAUAUAUAAGAUUACUUGUCCUCGUAAAUUCCUCGUAAACUUACGAGGAAUUACAGAGGCCCGCGUUUUCAGUUACGACGAAAUAGCGACGAAAUACAAAGGCCCGCGUUUUCGUUAACGACGUUUUUACGACGAAAAGGGUUACGUGGAAUUAACGAGUUAACCAGUUACGAGGAAUUAGCGAGCCUUAUUUUCUAUAAAUACCCACAACUUUCCUUCUCAAACCACACACACAAACUCACAAAACACACCCUAUCUCAAAUCACACUCCUCACCAAAAUACUUUUCAAAUUAGAAAUAUUUGAAAAAAAAAAGAAGAAAAGAAGAUAUUAGAAUUUAUGUGGGUGAGACUUAAGUCUCGCCACAUAUAAUUCCAGUAUCUUUCUUUUUUUCUUUUUUCUAGUUUUUAUACUAUGAGGAAGUAGCAAGUCCCGCUUUUCACCAAUUUAGAAAAUUUGGAAAAAAAAAGAAGAGAAGAAGAUAUUUGGAACUCAUGUGGUCGAGACUUACGUAAGUCUCGCCAAAUGUGAUUCAAGCAUCUUUCUUCUCCUUUUUUUUUAGUAUUUUAAUAUUUUCGUCGUAAUAUCGUCGUUAGUUUACGACUCUUUUACGACGAUUUUGGCUUACGUGGAAUUAGCGUGCCCCGCUUUUUUAAUUUCGUCGUAAAGUCUCGUGGCCUUACGAGGUGUUUACGACGAAAUCAUCCUACGUGGAAUUAAAGAGUGCCUUCUUCGUCAUUUACUUUACGUGGUAUUUACGUCAAUUUACCUUACGAGGUUUACGACGAUUCUGUCCUACGUGGAAUAAACGAGUUCCUCCUUCGUCAUUUACUUUACGUGGCAUUUACGUCAAUUUACUUACGAGGUCUUUACGACGAUUCUGUCCUACGUGGAAUAAACGAGGAUUACGUCGUACAUUCGACGUCAGGUUACGAGGAAUUAACGAGCAGUACGUUUAAAUCCCUAAAAUCCGAAACCCCAAACCCCAAAACCCAUAUUCCUUAUCUUCUACUUCAUAUAUUCCAAACCCCAUCUUUAUUUUCAUUCCAAACCACAAUUCCCACAUUUACUUAUUUAUAAAACAAACUCCCACAAUUUCUUAUUCAUAAAACAAACUCCCACAUUACCUUAUUCAUAAAACAAACUCUCACAUUACCUUAUUCAUAAAACAAACUACACAAAAUCAAAUACAUCAAUCGGAUACAUCGACAUUCUCGUCAUCACUAGAAAUAUCAUCAUUUUCAUUAAACUCGUCUUCUACAGCUUCGUCUGUGGCAUCAUCGGUAAGAUCUUCGUAUUCGUGAUUAUGCGGAUCAAUGAGAAGGAUGUCAUCAACUUCUUGUUCAGGUUCCUCGACUUCAUUUAUCUGUUCUUCUUGCAAUGGUGGUUCUUCUCCACUGAUGAUUCGUCCUCGAGGUGUAACUUUGAUCACUGCUAACCAAUUUAUACCCGAAUCUCUCAUCCGAGGGUAUGGAAGGAAGCUAACUUGGUCUGCUUGUGAAGCUAAGAUGAAAGGCUCGAAUUUGUUGUACCGACGUCCACCGUUGACAUCAACUACACCAAAUUUGUUAGACCGAACACCUCUGUUGACGACGGGGUCGAACCAUUCACAUUUGAAGAUGACGCAUUUCAGCUUCAGUAUCCCUGGAAAUUCGACUUCAAUAAUCUCCGUCAAGAUCCCGUAGAAAUCUGUUUCCCCUUUCACACAUAUUCCAUAGUUACUGGUCGCCCGCUGUCUACCAUACUCAUAUGUGUGAAAAGUGUAGCCUCGUGUGAAAUACAUCUGUGAUGUGGUGACCUUUACAAGUGGAGAUUGAAUUACUUCGUGUAACCACUUAGGAUAAUCUGCAUCGUCGUCAUAAUCAACCUGCAAAAAUAAAGAGAACAUUAAAAUACAAAUCAUGUAUGAAAAAAUAGUUUGAGUUAUAAUACCUGAUUCCGCAACCACUUAAUGAAGUGCUGAUCUUUCCUUUUGUCUACGUCACUUGUGGAUAUACCAGGAAAUGUUUCUUCGACUUGAGAAACAAAUAGGCUGUAAAAUUAAUCACAUUUCAUAGGAAUGAAUCUCUUGCAAUUAUAUAAUUAAUUAUAUGUGUUUUGAAGUGUCCAUAUAUGUUACCUUUCAAAAUAACGCAUCAAUGGAUCCUCGCAAUUGAGUAGAAUAUAGGUGUGUGCACUAUGAGCGUCUUGUUCACUCGACCACCAAACCUCUUUAGACUUCCCACCGAGUCGUCCAAUCUGGCUAAAGAUGUCUGGAACACCAGCAACUGCAUAUGUUGGCGCAACUCCACCAUCAUCAUAUCUUCUUGGAGCUCUUCUACGGGUACGUACUUUUGACGCAAAGUAGUACGAUGUGAAGUGAGAAACUUCUUCCGUCAAACUUCCAGCAAUUAUAGAACCUUCAACUUUGGCGAGGUUCUUUGCUUUUCCCUUCAAAUAUUUCAUGGCUCGCUCAUACUGAUACAUCCAUCCGUAAUGUACAGGUCCACGAAGCAAUGCUUCAUAUGGGAGGUGGACAGCUAGAUGCUCCAUGACGUCAAAAAAUCCAGGAGGAAAUAUCUUCUCCAAGUUGCACAAUAAGAUGGGAAUGUUCUCCUGAAGCUGUUCUACAACUUCUUCUUUAAGAGUGCGUGUGCUCAGAUCCCUGAAAAAUGCUCCAAUGCCUUUUAUAUUCCAAAAACAAUUAAACACAUUGUUAGUCGUAUAUUAUUUUGCAAACUAGACCGUUAUAAAAUUAUUGUGAUAUAAAACACUACGAACCUGCAAGUGCUUCAUGUACGUUUGUUGGAAGUAGCUCCGCAAAUGCAAAGGGCAGUAGUCGUUGCAUAAAGACAUGACAAUCAUGACUCUUCAUCCCAGAGAACUUUUGACCCUUUUCAACACAUCUAGAGAGAUUUGAAACAUACCCAUCGGGGAACUUCACUUCUGAUGCCACCCAGUUGAACAACACCGACUUUUUUUCUGAAGACAGUCUGAAUAUCGGAACGGGAACUUGUCCAUUGCUUUUAAUAUGUAACUCGCUUCUUGAGCAAAUAUCCGGCAAGUCCAACCUCGAUUUUAUGUUGUCUUUUGUCUUCCCUGGGACAUUCAAUAUUGUAUUCAUGAUGUUCUCAAAGAAAUUCUUCUCUAUAUGCAUCACAUCGAGGUUGUGGCGCAGAAGAAGAUCCUUCCAAUAUGGCAACUCCCAAAAUAUACUCUUCUUGUGCCAGUUGUGAUGAACACCGUAAGAAUCAGGCAUAUUACGAGGGACAUGCCAAUUACCACCCCAACGAACUGUUUCGUUAGCUCCGUAGUAGUCGAUUUGUGCUUCAAUUUGUUCUCCAGUUAGAUAUGGUGGAGAAGUGUCUCUCACAACCCUUUUGUGCCUAAACAAAUUCUUGUUUCUUCGGUAAGGAUGGCCAAUGGGAAGAAAUCGACGAUGACAAUCAAACCAACUUGUCUUCCUACCAUUCUUCAGUUGAAACGCAUCUGUCGUUCCAUUACAAUAUGGACAAGCUAAUCUCCCAUGUGUAGUCCAUCCAGACAACAUCCCAUAUGCAGGAAAGUCACUUAUGGUCCACAAAAGCAUAGCUCGCAUCGUAAAAUUCGUCUUCGUUGAACAGUCAUACGUCCUCACCCCUGUUGACCACAAAUCCUUCAACUCUUUUAUCAGUGGUUGUAGGAAAACAUCCAGGGACCUUUUUGGAUGGUUCGGACCAGGUAUCAAUAUCGUCAAGAAUAGCAACUCCCGUUGCAUGCACAUCUCCGGUGGCAGGUUGUAUGGCGUAAGAAAGACUGGCCACAAUGAAUAUUGUCUCCCUGACAUUCCGAACGGACUAAAUCCAUCUGUGCAUAAUCCGAGAUACACAUUCCGGCUAUUGCUAGCAAAAUCCGGAUGUACUUUGUUGAAAUGUUUCCAGGCUCUUGCAUCUGAUGGAUGAGUCAUCUCACCAUCCGUCUGAGUAUGCUCGGCAUGCCAUCUCAUCUUUGCAGCAGUCUGCUCUGAUUGAUACAAUCUUUUCAAUCUGUCUGUAAUUGGUAGGUACCACAUCCUUUGGUACGGUACCCUAUUACGUCCCCGUCCUUGCGGCUUGAAUCGUGGCUUCUUGCAGAAUCGACAUACUUCUAGCUUCUCAUCAUCUCCCCAAUAGAUCAUGCAGUUGUCGAUGCAGACAUCUAUCAUCUCCGAAGGCAACCCAAGACUAUAAACUAAUUUCUGAAUCUCAUAAUAAGAAUCAGCAGACACAUUGUCUUCCGGCAAAUACUCUUUAAACAAGUCCGCCCAUUCGUUCAUGCAACUUUCAGGUAGAUUGUGAUCAGUUUUAAUAUUCAUCAUUCUAGCAGCCAACGACAAUUUAGAGAGACCUUCUCUACAACCACUGUAAAGUGGUUGAUUCGCCGCGUUUAACAUUCCGUAAAACUUUUUUGCAUCUAUAUUAGGUUCUUCAUCUUCAUCAUGAGCUACGAAUGCAUCAGCUACCAUAUCAUGAACCCUAUCAUAAUCUACCAUCUCCUCCUGAUGGUAACUAUGUUCAUUAUGCAAAUGAUGAUUAACCGGUUCUUCCUGAAAAUUGCUAUUACUACUACUAGCUUCAUUCUGAUCAUAAUUAUAACCUUCCCCAUGUUGAAACCAGAUAUAGUAAUUUGGCGUGAAACCUCUAUUUAUUAAAUGCUUCCAAACAUUUUCACGGUUUGCCAAUUUCGAAUUGUUGCAUUUCCGACAAGGACAGAACAUCUUACCACUUUCUUGGGCGAGCGGUGUUGAAUCUGCUUGGUGCAUAAAUGUCUCCAGCCCCGCAAGGUAUUCUUUCGUCACUCUCCCGUUAGCAUCUCUAUGCAUAUACAUCCAAUUCCGCAACUCGUAAAUAGUCCCAGAGCCAGCCAUUUUUUUUUCUUUCACGUUUUUUGUUGUUGGUGUGUUUAAAAUGAUGUUCCAACAUCCAUAUUUAUAGAAAAUUUCGAAUCUGGUAGUUGUAAUUUUACUAUGAAAUUACGACGAAAAUUAAUUGUAUGGCCAAAAAAAAAACGUGAGCCACCUACCAAGUUGGUGGAUUCAAAAUUUCCUCGUUAAGUACACGUAAAAUAUUUCGUCGUAAAGCACUCGCGAAAUUUACGUGGAUUUUACGAGGAAAAACUAUUUCCUCGUAAAAGCCACGUCAAUUUACAUCGUCUUUACGACGAAUAUUUUUUGUCGUUAACUUACGACGAAAUAACGAUGCUUUUCUUUCUCAACGUACUUUCCUCGCAAAAUCAACGUUUUUUUACGAGGAUUAUUUUUCCUCGUUAAACUUCCUCGGUAAAGAUACGUUUUCUUGUAGUGGAAGAACAUUCACCUUAUAAACUAUUAACCGUUUUGUACAUGUAUCAUGUAUAGGAAAAAUUAUAAUGUGCGAGUCACUCAGUUUUACAUUGUAUAAUUAUGUAUCAUACAUUUUCUUCAUGUUUGAAGAACCACCAUGAAAGAUGUAGUUCAGCUUCUGUGCGAGUUUCAAAAAUAAAUUGUAAGUGUAAUUUCCCGAGUUGUGAUAUAUGGAAAAAUCUUAAAAUAUAUUGUAACUUCCCGAGUUGUGAUAUAUGGAAAAGUCUUAGGAUAAUUGUUUUGGCUAUCUAUGUCAGCAAAGUUGACUUACUUUUUUCGUUAGACAUAUGUUUAAAACUCAAGAAUUAAGUGUACUUGGGCUGGAGUAGUGAAAUGAUGGAUGACCUAUCGGAAAGUUAUUUGUGAUACCUACGAGUGAGGCCAAAACACGGAGAAAAAUCAUGUGGUGUUUGCAGGGUCAGAAGACUUAACUUUCGAGCCUUGGAAAAAUUAAUGCACCGCCUGUCAGACAGGAUAAGGCCCACCGCCCGAGAGAACGGGCGUGGAUAGCCCAUUAGCCGUUGGUGGUCGAGUUGUUACAAGUAGUAUUAGAGCUGGUUAGCCAUCUCAAUUCUGACCUGAGAGGUGUCUUGAAACAUGUCGUUGUGUUGCAACGAGGACGUUGCGUUCUUUGAGAGUGGGUGAAUUGUAAUAUCCGAGUUGUGAUAUGUGGAAUAUAUUUAUAAAGGUUUGCAAUAUAUUCCAAAUGUUUUUCAUAAACACAAACGCUAAAUAUAUUAUACAUCAAAAAAUAAAAUUUCACCACUUUUCAUAAAUUUAAGAUUAAAAACUAAAAAAUGCAGUUAUAGCAAAAUUAAUAUUACAAUUUUGAUAAUUUUUUCUCAUCUAAAUUUCAAUUAUUUUAAUUAAAAUAAUUUAUUUUGCACUUUGAAAAUAAAUAACUAAAUUUUAUAGCUUCAAAAAUAUAUAAAUAAUAUAUAAAAUUUUAAUUUUCAUUAAAAGUUUUCUCAAACAAAAAAUAAUUAUUUAGUUAAAACUUAAAAGCACCUAACUUGUACUGUACAUAACAGACAACUCAGACGUUAUUUUUGAGUCACAGAUAAUUGGUAAAUUAUGGAUUUUUUUCUUUGUCAUCAUUCUGGAUUUUGUUAGUUCGUGUAUUAAAUUUGAACUAACGGAGUGUUCAUGUAUGUAUUUGUACAACUUAUCUGUGCAUGUACGCAUCGUGUAUCUAUUAAUUUAUUAAUUAUUCAAAACGUAAAAAACCACCUAACAUGUGCUGUAUAUGACAUACAACUCAGAUUCCGUUACAUUUAAUUCACUCUUAACUCACGGACAAUUGGUUAAUUUAUGUGAAACAUGGAUUUUUUUCAACAAUCUGGAUUUGUUAGUUAGUAUAUUAAAUUUGAAUUAACUGAGUAUUCAUGUAUGUAUUUGCACAACUCGUAUGUGCAUGUACAUAUGUGCAUGUACUGAUCGGGACCGUUGAACUCUGUUAAUGUAGAAAUUAGCCGAUUUCUCUAACUACAGUAUCAAAUCUUAUGCUUUAAAAACAUACAUUUAUUAUGGGAUCCAUACUACUAACCAUGGAUAAUUUCAUACCAUAAUUUAUAUGCUAAUAACCAUCUUUCAACAUGUGUUAGUCUAUAUAAUAGAGAUUAAGCUUCAAACCCAACACAAACUCCUCUCAAACAAAAUUAAAGUAGAGAGAGAUAGAGUGAGUGAUCAAUUAUCAUUGCUUCUUCAUGAUCUCAAAGUGAUGAUCAAAGAAUCAUCACUCAUUUUCCCAUCUGUAGAAACCUUUACCCAUGAGAGAAAAUCUAUGUUUCUUGUUCAAUGUCGACCAAGUUUACAACUUCGAUGUCCAAACGGUUCAUUUCUUCCGAGAAAACAAAGAUUAUUCUCCGGAGAUUGUGGCGGAGAUGCUGAGAAAUGCGUUGGUGAGAGCAAUGGACGUUUAUGAGUUUUUGGCCGGGAGAAUUCGCGUGAACCGUAGCUCUGGAAGCCUGGAUGUUGACUGUAAUGGUGCCGGAGCUGGGUUUGUAAUGGCGGAGAGUGAGUAUACUUUGGAGGAACUUGGAGAUUUGGUUUAUCCAAAUCCAUCCUGUGCUAAAUUGGUUACAAGUCAGCUUCAAUCUUUGCCUAAAGAUGAUCAACCAUUGUUUGCUUUUCAGGUAACCAACGAUUACUUCCUAAAACUAUUCCAAAUUAUAAUGUAUUUUUUUUUGUGGAGUAAUAAAUCACCCAAGAAAAAUAUUUUACAAGUUGAGUAUACAUUAUUAUAUAAUAAAAACACGAAUAAACUUCCUCAGAAUCUUUAAGAAGUCUAGACCCAAGCAAAAAAGGGAGGUAGACAGAAGUUAAAUUAGUAGCUACGAAAAAAUAUAUGUACCAUUAAUACUUGUGUACAAAGUAUCAGUUUGGAGGCUUAGUUUAUUUAAACUAUUAAAAUCUGUUCUGAAAUACAGAAUUAUCAAAUUUUUGGAUUCUUAGUUUAUCUUAACUAUUAAAAUAUGUUCUGAAAUACAGAAUAUAUAUUUUGAAAAAGCCAUAAACCGUUGUUUGAUUAGCCCGCGUCUGAUUUUUGAGUUGGUUAGGUAAAGGCUGAGUAAGCCAAAGAUGCUUAGUUGGCCAGUCGUGCAGAGAAACCACUGAUCUAAUCUACUUAGGGCUGUGUUUAUUAUUUCUGCCUUAUUACUCUUCUUCACUUGGCUUGUUGUUCUUUCUGUGUACACGGGCAUAGAUAUGGAUAUGGUGUCUUGAUUCUUUUUAUACAACUUUGAUUCCGCCUGAUAUUCAUCCAACUGGUCUAUGUAUCUAUAGCUUGCUGAGGAGAAUGUUCAAAACUAUAUAAAAAAACGUGUCGGAGCUUGAGUAAUCUUCCAUUCCCUGAAAUAUUUAAACUCUAAUUAAGAAUUAACACAACUGGCAAUUUUGUAGAAAUGAAAGAUAGUUAGUUACAAAGGAGCAUUAAAGAAGUGAGACGUCCCAAAUAGUUCGUCUUCACCAAGCUAACCGAUAGCAUUCUUCCGCAGUGACGAAUGGUACUAAACGGAACGUAGUAACGCAUGCAUUGACGUGAAAGUGUUAUCUUUAUUCUUACAUUCUCAGAUUUUAUAUAUAUGCGAGAAGCUUCACCCUGCAACAUUUAUUUUAUCUUUUGUUUAAGAGUUUGAAGUCUUGGAAAUCAAUUUUUUUAGUUCAACUCUUUUAUAAGAGUAAUGGUGUUUGCUAUAUUUUAUUGUUGCAUUGGCACUGAUCGUACUGAUCGUCCUGGGAACCAUCGGCUGCUGCGCACACUACCACAAGAGGCAAAGGGACUUCCUUUAAGGGAGUUUAUUUUAGUAUUUUAUUCGUAAUUUGUUUUGCGUAACUUUAUCGAAUCUGCUAAAAUGAGCUUUUAGUCAAUUUACGGAAUUUCUUUUCUUUGGUCUCAAUUCCGUUGUGCAAUGAUUUUGCAGUCUGCCAGACUGUUGGAAGCCCUUAACACAAACUGGGAAAAGGAUGAUGACAACCAGGAGGUGGAAAAAUAUGUAAAAACGAGAGAUCUACGGCAUGUGCCAUAUGGUAAGUCAAAUUAAUCUCCCGAACAAAAGUAUAUAUAAAUGAAAAUUAUCAUCUGUUUUGGUUCAGUAGUGUCUUAUUCAACUUAAGUUUGAGCUCUUAAAUUUGUUCUACAAAUUUUAAUAUUUUAGUUAUAUUUUUAUCAGGUAUAUUUUUUUCUUUUCUUAAUAUUUUUUUUUAAAUAAAACUUAUAUUUACUUUAGGGAGUUUAUUUUAGUAUUUUAUUCGUAAUUCGUUUUGUGUAACUUUAUCAAAUCUGCUAAAAAAAGCUUUCAGUCAAUUUACGGAAUUUCUUUUCUUCAGUCUCAAUUCCGUAGUGCAAUGAUUUUGCAGUCUGCCGGCAUGUUGGAAGCCCUUAACUCAAACUGGGAAAAGGAUGAUGACAACCCGGGAAAAAUAUGAAAAAAUGAGGGAUCUACGACAUGUGCCAUAUGGUAAGUCAAAUUAAUCUCAUGAAUAAAAGUAUAUAUAAAUGAAAAUUAUCAUCUCUUUUGGUUUAGGUUCAGUAGUGUCUCAUUCAACUUACAUUUGAGCUCUUAAUUUUGUUCUACAAAUUUUUAAAAUUUUAGUUCUAUAUUUUUAUCAGAUAAAUUUUUAUUUUUUUUCCUUUUUUGCUAUCUAAUAGAAUUUUCUUUUCUUUUCUUAAUUUUUUUAAAUAAAACUUAUACUUUACUUAAGAUUUUUUUGGUAACACACUUUACUUAAGUUUACUUUAACAAUUAUUUUUAUUAGUUUAUGUUUCUUUAUUAUAAAAACUAAAAAUAACAAUUUUUAUGUACACUAUAAAUUUAUAAUAUUAAAUAUUUGAUAUUAUGAAAACUGUCUUUCGUUUUUACCCAACUAUUUACAAUAAAAAUGUAAAAUUUUAUUACAUAAGCAUAAUAUAGUUUAAACUCUUAUAUCAGAUUUUUUUUGGGUGAAUUACCCAUUCGUGGGCUUAUACUAGAAGGAAAAGUUUUGUGGAAACCACAGUAUUUACAUAAUUAAUAAUUACGAAAUCAAAAUCUCAAACGAUGAAAAUGUUGUUCAAAACAGGUUCAAAUGACCCUAUUUACUUUACAAAAUAGUAUUUUUGCGUGAAAUUGCUACCAAGAGUUGGCUAUGAAUGUCCGAAGCAUAAACCUUCUUUGAAGAAGUAUCCUCUGGUCUAUAAAACCUUCUCACUUUAAUCUCGGACAAAUUAUUUAUUGGAUCAUUUUGGGACAACUACUUCUAGUACCUUACAUACAGCAAAAGCUUUUAAGCCAUUGUUCCUCACACACUUGGAUUUUGAGUUCAUCUAUCAUGAUAAAUUGAGGUUUGACAUAUACAUAAUCUUCCUUAGAAUAAUCAACCGCGAUGAAGACAAACCCAGUCUUUGAAACAUUAAGUUUGAUUUUUGACCUUCCCUCUACCUCCUCCCUGAUCAUACAUGAACUGCAGAAUCUUGAACCAUGACUCAUGUUUUUGAGUUGAAGACUCAAUAAACUAGGGCUAGACAUAAGGUAAUAACAUGGGUCGUGGUUCAGGAUCUUGCAAUUCAUGUAUGAUUGGAGAGGAAGAAGAGCGAAAGUCAAAAGUCAAACUCAAUGUUUCAAAAAGUGGAUUUCUCUUCAAUGAGGUUUUGAUUAUUCUAUGGAGGAUUGUGCAUAUGACAAAUCUCAAUUUAUAACUAUAGAUAUAAUUGAAAAGGAUAAGACAAAUUCAAGUUUGUGAGGAACAUUGGCUUAGAAGUUUUGGUUGUUUGUAAAUUACUAGAAGUAGUUGUUCCAAAGGUAUCAAAAAGAUUUGUUUAAGAUUAAAUUGAGAAAGUUACGUAGGCCUGAUUAUAUUCCUUCAGAAAGCUUAUGUUUUAGACAAUUAGUAGCCAAUUUUUGGUAACAAUUUUGGACCUAUUUUAAACAACAUUUUCAUCGAUUGUAUUUUUUCUAAUAAUUUUAAUUUAUGUAGAUAUUGAGGUUUCCGACCAAGUUUCGCUUCUGGUAUAAGCUCACAAAUGGGUGAUCUCACCAGAAAAUAUGAGUAAAGAAUUUUAAAAUUAUAUUAUUCUUAUAAGGUUUUAGUUUUUUUUAUUUUAAAUAAUUGAGUCAAAAAUUUGAGAAAUAUUUUUUUUUGGCAUCAAAUUAUAUAGUUUCAUACUGUCUCUGUGAACCAAAACGGGAGAUCUUGAUCCAUCUGAACUACGAAAGACGGUUGCUUCCUGAUAUUGUGUGCUAGGCUAUCAGCCUUUGAAUUUUGCAUCCUUGGUACAUAGAUGAUCUUUGAUUGGAGGAAACUUUCUUUCAGGAUCUUAAUAUCUUCCAAAUAACGUGUAAAAGCUGGUCAUUCUUCUGGUUCCAAAACCAUCUUCACCAAUUGACGUAAGUUUCUCAUACAUUCCAUUGCCCAGAGUAGCGCUUCCAUCUCCGCAUGAAGAAGAGAGAGACUAGCAGGUACAUUCUUCUCCCCCAUCAGCCCAUCAAAUCUUUCUAGAGUGCUGAGCCAACCUUGUCCGGAGAAAAUAUCAUUCUCUUUCCAGGAACCAUAUGUGAAACACCAUCUUCCUAGAAUUGACGGUAGAGUCGUACCCUCAACGUGUGGUACUAUCUUCUGUUUAUCCAAUAUUUGUGCAUCAGCCCAGAGUGUUGAUUUUGUUUCUGCCAAUUUAAGCAUUUUCCUAGGAUUAAUAUCCAGAUUAAAAAAAACUUUAUUAUUUUUUUCAUUUUCAAAUGUACCGUAAUAUCCAUGCAAACUGAUGAUCAAUCUGCGAGAAAACUCUCGAGAAGAGAUGAUCCAUGUUUGUGAAGAGAAAGCUUCUUGGAAAAAUAUCUGGAUUUGAUGGUAUCUUUGAGAGAGCCCAAACAUGUAGUACUGGAGGACAUUCAAAAAACACAUGGUUUAUCGAUUCCUCAUCGGUUCCACAUCUUGCACAACAUAUAUCCCCUUGUAUCCCUCGCACUCGCAGAUAAACAUUUAUUCAUUUUAGUUGUUAUUUAAUAAAUAAACAUAAAAUUUGAUAAAAAUAAUUGCUAAAGUAAAACUUAAGUAAAGUGUUUUACCAAAAAAAACAAUUAAAGUAUAAGUUUUAAAUUUAGAAAAACUAAUAUUAAGAAAAGAAAAAAUAAAAUAUUCCUAAUAGAUAACAAAAAAAAAGGAAAAAUAAGAACUUAAUUUAUGAAAAUAUAACUAAAAUAAAAGAAAAUGUGUAGACAAAACGAGCUGAUAAUUUUCAUUUAUAUUUAAUUUUGUUCGGGAGAUUAGUUUUACUUAGUAUAUGACACAUGGUGGGAAUCCUUAAUUUUUCAUAUAUUGAUUUGAUAAAAAGUUAUAGAAAAUUAAUUACUUGAUUGAACGAGUAUUUGGUUUAAGCAAGCCAAGUAGGGAGUAUAAGUAACAAAUUAAACUAUUUGAACUAGUUAAGCCAAAUAGAAAAUACUUCCAAAUUAGGAUCAAUUUCUUAUUCCGCCCCAAGAGGUAAAAACAAUCUAAUAUGGACCACCCUUCCUAAUAUAAAUUUCUUUUAUAGUUAACUUUAAUUUAGAUAGCAAGCAAAUCUUACUAUAUAUUAAUUGAGAAAACACUUUAGUGACUUUUGCUUACGUGUCGAUCAUAGGUAAACUCUUACAAAAUUGUUAUAAUUUGAUUGGUCGAUGAUUUUUAAUUUUUAUUUAUUUUAUUUAGAUCUAAAAAAGGUAAGUCUAUAACCAAUUAAUAUCACUUGCCAAAUAAUUUACAUAAUAUUACAAAUAAUGAUUUAUGGUAACUAAUUGUUUAUAAAAUACAUAAAAUAAUAAACAACAAACUGUUUAUAUAAAUUAAUAUAAUGUUCAUAUUAAUUUAUAUAAACAGUAUGUAAUAUCACUUGCCAUUUUAUAUUCUUAUUUAAAAGCAUUAUGUUUUGUGUAAAUUAUCAUAAUAACUAUUAACAUCUUCUAAAGUUCAUAUUACAUGCUUUAUAAAUCAUCAAUAAGAACAUUUAUCAAAUUAUUUAUCUAGGCUUAUUGUAUAUUUUAAAUUAUUAUAAGAGUUUGUAUGUCAUCUAUGAGAGCUUAUAAAUUACUUUAUAAAAUUUAUAUUAAAAUCUCAUUCUACUAUCCUAGUAUAUAUUAAUUGAGAAGUGAGUUAAGAGAGUUUUUGUUAUGUGUCGAUCAUAUAUGAAAUCCUAAAAAAAUGUUAUAAAUUGAUUGGUCGAUAUUAUUUAAUAUAGAUAAAUUUUUUAUAUUUUUAAAAUACAUAAAAUAAUAAGCAACAAUCAGUUUAUAUAAAUCAAUAAAAUGAUUUUAUAUUCUUAUUUAAAAGCAUUAUAUUUUAUAAGUUGUGUUGUUUCAUAAACUUAACUAUUGAAACUUUUCAUAAUAAAAAGUUAUAUAUUUUCAAUAGCUUGACCAUUUAACCACUUCUUAAUAGAAACCAUUUAAGAAUUUAUAUAUGGACUAUUCCUCCCAUCACUCACCAUAGUUUGUUUUUUAUAAUUUACUGCAUGUUGGCUAUGUCUUUACUAAUUAAUUAAUAAUUAACUGUCUGUUGGUGGUAUGUUAUAUAAAAGUUCAAUUAGAUAAUGAAAAUUAUGUCUUCAUUCUAUGAAGAUUUAUAUAUAUUUUGAAGUCUAACAUAUGUUUUCAUAUAGUAAGAUUUUGUAUAUAUUUGGAAGUCUAACAAUUGAAUCCCUUUAAUUUUAGAAAAAAAAUAAGAUUUUAUUUAAUCAUUUAUUCUUUGAUAGGCCUAUAGGCUUUUAUUUCGGUCUAUUCACAACCCCAUUUAUUUAUACAGCACUAAAUUCACAGCAAUCAAACUUUUAUAAAAAAUUCAAAAUCACAGCUCUUAACAUAACCUACAGCUGUACAAGUGUUCUACAUAGCCAAAAAUCCAGCGUAAUGUUUUGGAGCUUUCUUUAAAAUUCUAAAGCAACAAAAUCUAAAGCCACAGCAAAAAUUCUACAUAUUUCUUUCUACAUCAAAUUUUUUAAAUCUACAGCCAUUACCAAUCGAACCCUAUAUCAAAUACUAGGGUAGACCCGCCUUACAGGCGGGAUUUGAUGGGUUGAUUUUUAUAAAAAAUGUUACUUUGUGUAAAUUUCUUCUUAUGUUAAAUUUGGUGUGAGUAUGAUUAUUGUGAACACCAAAUUUGAAUUAUAUAACUAACUAAUGAUGACUGAGUUCUUAGUAUUGUUGGAUUUUUAAUUCUGAAUUGAAAAAAUUUAUAGUGUGGUAAGUUAGUAUAAAUGUUUUGGUGAAUGUUAGUAACAGAUAUUAUUAUCAAUUUUUGUUACUUGUUUGGCUUUUUGUGCUAUUUUUAGUUAUAUUUACUUAUAUAUAAUGCAAUUGAUCGUGGUUAUAAGUUUAAUAAUAAAUAAAGAGAAACGAAAAAAAACGUAACAAAUGUAUUAUUUUGGACAAUCUAAGCACAGUACGCAAAAAUGAGAAUCAUUUUUGACUAAAAUAUUGUGUCUCAAAAUGUAGAGCAUUUUGUGUUCAUGCGGAUCCAAUCAACUAUGCAUUGGUAUCCAGUAAACAUGGUUUAGAUUUGGUAAUAAUGAUUAUAGUGAAUUGAUAUUAUAUUUAAAAAAUCACGGUUUAUGGAUAUAGUAUGGUUUAUUAACUGAACAAACCAAGCGAACCAAAGAUGCUGGUUUUAUUAUAUAUUAUAGUAGUAUAUUUAAGGGGUUUAAUAAUAUACAUAAUACAAUUUUAUUGAUAUUUGUUUUUUUUUUGCCUACAGUCUAAUUUUAGGAAAAUAAACAAAACAUACUUUGACAUUUCUGUCGACAAAUAUCUGAUUUAAUAUUUACUUAUUUAAUAAUAUUAUGGUUUAAUAAUUUACUUUUAAAGUUUUUUAUUACUAUUAUCUUAAUUGGUCUACUAAUUUUUUUUCUAUGUUUUUCUACUUUUUGUUUUAUAUUUCAUUAGGGGACUUAAAAAUUUUAUGCUCAUUGCAUAUAUCUAACUAUAUAUAUAACUUUCCUUAUAGGGAUUUGUUAGUUAUAGUUAAAUUACUCUUUCUAAUCAACCAUUGAAAGUUUUACAGUACAAUAAUUGAGAAGUUUGACUAAUUAAACUAUAUUUUUUUAUAUUAAAGAGUAAUUUGAUUUAUACAUAAAUAUGUACGAUAAAGUUAAUAUUCUCUUACUGAAUGUUAGUUAUAAUUUUUUUCUACCUUUCUUGCUAUAAUAUUCAUGAAAGAAUAUUUCAAGUACACAUAAUAGUUUAUUUAAUUAAACAUGGGGUUUUUUUUAAUUUAUGCUGGCUCUUUCUUUCUGGUGUCUUUGUAGUAUGCAUAUAAUUCUAUUAUAUAUUUGUGGAUAUCUUGAUCUUUAAAACAUAGUAUAUAUAUAUAUAUAUAUAAUAUGUGUCACAGGCUCUUUAUAUGAAACCUUAAAUUUAAAACAAUGUUUAAGCGUUAAGAAAAAGGUUUUCAUAAAAGUAGCAAAUGUAAGACAAUAAGAGAAGAAGGAGUCCAGUCUUUCAAAAUAUGACACUUCAAACACUGGUGAACGAUACCGUCGUCGAAGCCUAUAAUUGUUGAAGAACACAUUGGCUCCUUUUCCGGCGAAGAGAGUGAUAAAGUCAGUACUUGAGAACAUACAGGAUCAGAGAUAGCGUACCAAGUAAACCAGUUCAAUGCUAAGCUAAAAAUAUAUGUAUACUAUAAAUAUAAUGUAUACGGGUCAUGUGUUUAGCUUCUUAACUAUUAUGGAGCCGCAGGUACUGUGUGAGCAUUAUAUUUAUAUUUAGUAUUUGUUGAAUAAAAUGCAAAUGAAGGGAAAUAUCGAAUAUGAAUGGACCCAUCGCAUGUUUAGUAUAUGUUGUCGUUGUCAAAUUGGACUCAAAAUAUGCGGAUGAUUGCCUACGUUAAACAUGAUCAUAUUUACAAUCAUGACAGAAUAUAGAGAAUACUAACUUGAAUUAAAAAAAACCAUAUAAUACCAAAUAUUUCCUAAAUGAGAUAUAUUUUAUAUUUGGUAUCAAGAAAACCAAAACUAUAGAAGUAGGAAAGUGUAAAAGUCAAACUUGUUAAUAAAGCAAACACCAGAAAAGGAAAAAAAAAACAACAUAAACGACUUCAGCAUUAAAAAACACACAGGAAAAACUGCGUCUUGUACUCCAAUCCUCUUCACCUAUGCCUUGCGUGCUUUCUUCACCUUCUCCGAUGCUACUUGCGCCUGGCUAGGUCCACCAGUUUCAACCUUAGAAGGCACUGUGAUGGCAUCGGGGUUGUCAUCUCCAUUGUAAACGUCGCCUCCCUAUUUGAUAAAAAAAGUCAUAUAUAUCUUUAUACCGAACAGCCACGUAUCUGGAAAAACCUUACAUUCUUUAAACCUUACAUUCCAUAAACCUUAGAUUAUCAACAAAUGCAGGCUGCAGCACACGGUCACGCUCACUGAGGAUGCGCGAGACAGUAAAGGUCUGAUGAUUUGCUGUGAAUUUAAGUGAACUCACCCUCACCUGGAAUGUGUAGGUCUUACCAAACAUGUCUCACACAAAUGGUGGGGCCUGUGUUUCCUCUGGGUUGACACCAUCACCAGCCUGAGCAAAGAGUGGUUCAAUGGAAACUGUAUGAAUAAGUAGCCAGUAAAAAAAUAUGAAUUACAGUUGAUAAAGUACAUACCAAAAGAUGGUCAGCUUCAAAGGCCCUCAUGUUGUGAUGUUUGGUCAUUACCUGAUCGAAACAGACAAACAAAGCUUUACCAGUUUCAUCUGCAACGGACAUCUCCA
rnacentral:lncRNA from 1 species